UACAGAGGGGGCAAGCGUUGUUCGGAAUUACUGGGCGUAAGGGCGCGUAGGCGGCCUUCUAAGUCGAACGUGAAAUCCCUGGGCUCAACCCAGGAACUGCGUCCGAUACUGGAAGGCUUGAAUCCGGGAGAGGGAUGCGGAAUUCCAGGUGUAGCGGUGAAAUGCGUAGAUAUCUGGAGGAACACCGGUGGCGAAGGCGGCAUCCUGGACCGGUAUUGACGCUGAGGCGCGAAAGCCAGGGGAGCAAACGGG
rnacentral:rRNA from 1 species